rnacentral:lncRNA from 1 species
ACCAACCCACCUUCACUUCAUCUUCUUCAUCACAACCCAAAACACUUUGAUUUACAGAGAGAUAUUCAAUAUCCCAUUCACUACUCAGUAUCAGUUCUUUUACUGUUGAUUGUUGUUUGAGUUUUGGAGGAAGAAAAUUAAGAAGAUGAGUCAUAUGGGGAAAGCUUGGAUAGUGGCAGCAAGCGUGGGAGCAGUGGAGGCACUCAAGGAUCAGGGCUUCUGCAGAUGGAAUUACACUAUGAGGUCUAUUCACCAGCAUGCCAGGAACAGCCUCAGGUCUUUUUCUCAGGUCAAGAAGCUCUCUUCCUCUUCCGCCAUGGUUUCUAGCAGAGUGAGAGACGAGAAAGCAAAGCAAUCAGAGGAGUCUCUGAGGACUGUCAUGUACCUGAGCUGCUGGGGACCCAACUGAGGAAGCAGAUCUGGAUAUGAAGAUGAUGAUCAUCCUACCACUGAAUCUUCCAUGGAGGGCAUAUCCCAAGAAAGUGAUAAGAACAAUCUUAGGCCCCUCUCUCAAGCUAGGAGCCUCUCUUCUUCUUCUUCCUAUAAGAUGGGUGUGAAGAGUAGUGGGGAAGAUGAGAAAAGGAAGAAGAAGACACAGAAAACAUUGGGGAAAGUCAUGCACUAGAGCUCCUGGGUCCCCAGUGGAGCAAUGGAUACAGAUUUUGCGGUGCAAUAUAAGAGUAAAAAUUUUGUAGACAACUGCAGAAAGAUGUGAUGAUCUUCAUGCGUACUUCAAAAAAAUGAAAUCAGAUAUCAGAUUUAUUAUCAUAAUAUUGUGUUGCCUUUUAUCAUUUUUUGCCAUGGGAUCACUAUCUUUGUUGGUUUUGAUUGAAUUUGAGCUUUAGCAGAUGGAGCAAUCAAGAGUUUGAAGCAAAAAGCACUUAAGAUCCACCUUCAGUGCAAUAUAUUUUGUUUUGAAUUGAUUGUGCAGGCAUUGUUCACCCCACAAUCCCUUCCUCCUCUCAGUCAAACUCAUAACUAUGGCUUGGCUCUAAUUUCAAUUCUCAAACAUCUUAACUGAAAAUCAUACUGAUGACUAAUAACAAUAAGUUCAACCUUUUAUGGCCUUUUUUUUUUUUCGGAGUGAUUGUUUGCGUGAUUCAUUUCAGACUUAAAAGAAUGAUGUUAUUGUGCCUAUACACAAAUUUUAUACUCAUGGUUUUAAUAGAAUCCCGUUCACUAUGUGAAAUUAAUAGUUUAAUAUAAUAUUAGAGUUUUAAUAUAUAGUAUUAUUUUAUAUUUUGAAAUUAGUAUUUUAAUAUAAUAUUAAAAUUUGUUCAGAUUUUCUGUUCGUUUUCUUGUUUAUUAAUCUUAUGGUUGGGUUUGAAAAAUGGAAAAUUUGAGAAAAAAAAAUGUGAGAAAAAAUUGAAAAAUAUACUUAAAAUUAAUAAAUUAUUUUUAGAUGCUUCAUUAAAUUUAUUAUAUUUUUAUAAAUUAUAAUUACAUUGAAUAAUUUAAAAAUAUAAAUUUUUUAAAUUAAUUUUAAUGACUUUUUUUUCCUUCUUUAAAAUUUUCAUGAUAAACUAGAAAUUGUAAAAUCAUUUGUGUUUUUUUCACCCUAUGUUGGACUUUUCCGGCCAAAUAUAGCUUAACUUUAGGGUUGUAAUUUGGACAAGUUGAUCGGCCUGAUCAUUGAUGGUCAAUCCAGACUCAAUCCAACCUUAUUUUUAAAAAAUAAAGUUAGUUAGUGGAGUUAAACUCAAAUUGAUUAGAUUAAACUUUAUAUUAAAACUUGGAUUGAUUAGGUUAAAUUUUAUGUUAAAAUUUGGAUUGAUUGGUUUAAAUUUCACCUUAAAAUUUGGAUUGAUUGGGUUAAACUUGAGUUGAUCCAAUUGAUUGAUUGUGUUGUAUAAUUCAAAAUUCAUUAAUAAUAGUUUUUUUUUUAAUUUUAUACAUUUAUACCAAAAUUUAGUUAGUAAUAAGACAAAAUUUCAAACAAUAAUAAUAAUAAUAAUAAUAAUAAUAAUAAUAAUAAACUCAUUUUUUUUUUCAAAAAAUGAAAAAAAUAUACUAAAUGAUCACAAUUUAAUAUUUUUCUUUAAAAUUUUAAAAAUAAAUAAAUAUUAUUAUAUUAGAUAAUAAAUAUUAUAAAAACAUUAAAUUUGGUUUGACUCGGAUUAUAGCCUAAAUCUAAUUCAAAUUGAAUUUUGGUUGUGAAAAAACUUAACCCAACCAAAUAUUGGAUUAAGUUGGGUCAACCCGUCAAAGUUAUACCCGUGACUUGUUUGGGCAUCUCACAGAAUUUAGUCAAACAGCUGAAAAUUAAUGGACUCCAGUGGGCAGAGUAAGUAAAGCAAAUUGUUUUGGAUUGCCGCAUUGUCACUUCUGAAACCAGCGGUUUCAGUCCUUUCACCCUUUUAGCAGGAAAACAGGGGGCACACCUCCUGGCAACUGCGACCAUAAUAACACUUAGUCGGGAAUAAAAAUGUAGCUGAAAAACCAAUCAUGCCCAAAUGUAACCUACUUUAGCAUUACAAAUCUAAGGACAAAGUAGUCAUUCCAAUUCAAACCAAACAAACCCAUGAAUACUGCUGGCCACAGCCUCUGGUUUUUGCCAAACGUUGGGCACCAAAUCCAAACCCAUCUAUUGCUAUAUAACCAACCCAUCUUCACUUCAUCUUCUUCAUCACAACACAAACACUUUGAUUUACAGAGAGAUCUUCUAUAUCCUAUUCACUACUCAGAAUCAGUUCUUUUUAUUGUUGAUUGUUGUUUGAGUUUUGGAGAGAGAAUUAAGAUGAGUCAUAUGGGGAAAGCUUGGAUAGUGGCAGCAAGUGUGGGAGCAGUGGAGGCACUCAAGGACCAGGGCUUCUGCAGAUGGAAUUACACUCUGAGGUCUAUUCACCAGCAUGCCAAGAACAACCUCAGGUCCUUUUCUCAGGCCAAGAAGCUCUCUUCUUCCUCUUCCGCCAUGGUUUCUAGCAGAGUGAGAGACGAGAAGGCCAAGCAAUCAGAGGAGUCUCUGAGGACCGUCAUGUACUUGAGCUGCUGGGGACCCAACUGAGGAAGAAGAUAUGAAGAUGGAUGAUCACCAGCAUACUAGUGAAGCAUCGAUGGAGGGCAUAUUCCAAGAAAGUGAUACGAACAACUUAGUUCCCUCUUUCAAGCUAAGAGCCUCUCUUCUUCUUCUCCUCCUUAUUCUUAUAAGAUGGAGGUGAAUAGUGGCGGAGAAGGUGAGAAAAGGAAGAAGACACAGAAAGUAAUGGGGAAAGUCGUGGGCUUGAGCUCCUGCGGUCCCAGUGAAGCAAUGGAUAGAGAUUUUGAGGUGUAACAUAAGAGUAAACAUUUUGUAGAGAUCUGCAGAUAGAUAAGAUGAUUUUAAUGUGUACUUAAAAAAAUGAAAUAAGAUUUCAGAUUUAUCAUCAUAAUAUUUGUGCCAUGGGACUAUCUUGGUUAGUUUUUUAGAGGGUUAAAAACUAAUUCUACUUUGGAAGAAAGGAAUCACCUUCAAAUUAAGCCAUCUUUCGAGCAGUUUGGAAAAACCCUUAUCUAAUAAAGACCUCUAUAAAGUACAAAAAGGUUGUGCUUUUACCAUAAAAAAGGUUGUUUCAAGCCCGAGAACAUCAGAAAUCAUCAUGCCAAGGUUGAUAGAGUUGCUAACAUACAGAUAAGAAAUUUUACCCAAAAAAAUAAAAUAAAAAAAUUAAAGCUUUGUCUUGAAAAGUCUCUCAAAUUCAGAUUCAUUUUUGGAAGAAGAAUAAGAGAUAUCUAAGUGAAGUGAGGGGUUCGUGGACAGGAAAUUUAAGAUAUUUUAAUAAUCCAAUAGUUUUAUUUGAUUUUUAUCAUAGUAUAAUAAAAUAAUUCUCUUUUAUUUGUGGAUGUAAGUUAAUCAAAACAUGUUAAGAUCUCGUGUAUUUUUGUGUGAAUUAUUUUAUUUUUACAUUCUAAAAUUAAUAUUUUUGUAUUAAAGCUUACAUUGAUACCAAAGCUAUGUUGAAGAUUUGUAAAAGAACAAAAAAAAAAAAAAAAAUAGUACACAAAAAAAAUGAUAAAAUGAAUUUUAAUUGAAAGUGAAGUUGAUUGUUUCCAAAACAUGAUACAAAAAAUAUGUUAUGAAAAGAUGAAAAAUUAACUUAAUGGAAUUUGAUGUCGAGAUUGUUCAAGAGUGCCUUAAAUUCUUAUUAAUAUUGAUUGAUUUUUAUAAGGAAUAUUGUAUAUAAUAUAUUUUAAGUUAAUAUAUUAUUAUAAUAUUAGAUUUCUUUAUUCAGUAAAGAAAGUUAUUAAAAAUAUUUUUAUAAAUAUUUUAAAUCUUAUAAGAUGAAGAUUAACUUGUAAAAAUUAUAUGAGAUGGAUAAAGAUGUAUAAAAAAAAUGAAAGAUAUCUUGAAUGAUGUAGUGAAAUGAUUCUCUCAUUCGCAUAUAUAGGCAUGAUUCAUCGAAUCAUAUUAAAACCUCAUGUAUUUUCCGGUGGAUUGUUUUAUUUUUAUGUUUUUAAACCAAUAUGUUUGUGUUAAGAUUUUCCCUUACCCAACACCUUCAACCCUCUCUUUUAUUUAUUUUUUUCAUUAUAUUUAUAAAGAGGUUUAUCCAAAGAUCUCAAUCCCUUGUCCUCAUCUUACCGUCUUUGAUCUAUCCGAGGAAUUUUAGUUUCUUUGGUAAUGAUUAAUUUUGAAUCUUACAAAACAAAACAAUCAAAAGUUUGAAACAAAGCAAGAUGCAUCAUUUAGACAAUUGGUUCAAAGGCUUCAUGAUAGACGUUACAUCCCAACAGUCAUUUAUGCUCUUAUAAGUCAAAUUCAUAAUCCAAUGUAUUAUUAGUUCAUUAUGUGAAAUUAAUAACUCAGCUAACAUUAGAGGUUUCAUAAAACACUAGAAUUUGUUCACAUUUUUGUUAGGUGAGCUCACAGAAUUCAAGUCCAAUUGGCAACUACUCCAAAAGUGAAUGUUAUUGAACUCCAAUAAGCAACUUGUUUUAGACUGCCGCAUUGUGGCUUUGGAAACCAGCGGUUUCACUCCUUUCACUCCUUUAGCAGGAAAACAGGGGACACAUCUUUGGCAGCUGCCACCAUGAUAAUUCUUAGUAGGGACCACACAAGUGGGUGAAAACCCAAUCAUACCCACAUCUAACUCCCCUUAGCAUUACAAAUCCAAGGACAAAGUAGUCAUUCCAAUUCAAACCAAACAAACCCAUGAAUACUGCUGGCCACAGCCUCUGGUUUUUUCCUAAAGUUUGGGCACCAAAUCCAAACCCAUCUCUUUUCUAUAAAACCAACCCACCUUCACUUCUUCUUCUUCAUCACAACACAAACACUUUGAUCUACAGAGAGAUCUUCAAAAUCCCAUUCACUACUCAAAUCGGUUCUUUUUAUUGUUGAUUGUUGUUUGAGUUUGGAGAAAGAAAAUUAAGAAGAUGAGUCAUAUGAGGAAAGCUUGGAUAGUGGCAGCAAGUGUGGGAGCAGUGGAGGCACUCAAGGACCAGGGCUUCUGCAGAUGGAAUUACACUAUGAGGUCUAUUCACCAGCAUGCCAAGAACAACCUCAGGUCCUUUUCUCAGGCCAAGAAGCUCUCUUCUUCCUCUUCUGCCAUGGUUUCUAGCAGAGUGAGAGAUGAGAAGGCAAAGCAGUCAGAGGAGUCUCUGAGGACUGUCAUGUACUUGAGCUGCUGGGGACCCAACUGAGGAAGAAGAUAUGAAGAUGGAUGAUCACCAGCCUACAGCGAAGCAUCCAUGGAGGGCAUAUUCCAAGAAAGUGAUAACUCAUAAGUGGAGUGGAGAUCAGUUUCAUGGAAUUUUUCCUAGAAGACAAACAAGGUGGAAAUCCAGAAAUUAAUUAGAACCAACUGCUAAUAGUUGGCGUCUCUGAGUUAGGAAUUUGUUAGCAAAAGGCAGCUUUGGUAUAUAUACUAAUAUACGAGAUGAUUUCAAUGUAUAUUUGAAAUAGAAAUUAGAUUUAUUAUCAAAACGAUUGCGUUGUCUCGUCUUUUAUAUUUUCCAGAUCCAAACAGAUCCUAAAGGCCCUAAAAUUUUUGUUGUAUCAUUUUUAUGCUAAAAAAUUACACAUAGAAAAAUUAACUAAAUCAUAAGUAGCUUCUAACCAUGAAUUGUUUUUUUUUUUUUAAGCCUAUAAAUUUUAUGCUUUAGAUACAUGCAUUAAAAAUCUAUCUAAACCAUAUAUAAUUAUUUUAAUGCAGUUAUAUAACUGAUAAAAAUAGAAAUAAAUUUAAUAAAUAUAAAAUAAUAAAAUAUUAGGAUAAGUAUUGAAGAUCAAUUUUCAGUCUUCAAACUUAAUCGAACUUGAAAGUGGAUGGCGAUGGAUACAAUGAUUUGAGCCAGGUCUUAAAUCUUUAACUUAAUGGAGCAAUUAUUGUAAUCUACUUAAUAAUUGGUCAGUAUAAAAUUAAAUAAUAAUAAAAGGAGAAAGAAAAGGACACGUGUUUGACGUGGACGUUGCCAAAACAGCGGUUUCAGACAGGCCUUUUACUGCCCGAGCGCCAGUGGAUUAACAAAGAAAACAAUGAGCACAUCAGUGGAAGCGGCACCAGCUACCAAGUAUGCAGCUGAAAUGCCCCUUGGAAUUACAAAUCGAAGGACAAAAGAGUCAUUCCAGACCAACCCAGAAAUACAGCUGACCCCUGCCUCUGGUUUUUCCCCAAACCUUGUGCCUUUCUCUAUCUAUAUAAUCCAGCCCACCUUCUCUCCAUCUUCUUCAUCGCAACACAAACGCUUUGAUUUACUGAGAGAUCUUCCAUAUCAAUUCACUACUGAGAUUGUUGUUUGGGCUUUGAGUUCUUGGGAAAGAAAGUUAAGAAGAUGAGUCAUAUGAGGAAAGCUUGGGUGGUGGCAGCAAGCGUGGGAGCAGUGGAGGCACUCAAGGAUCAGGGCUUCUGCAGAUGGAACUACACUCUGAGGUCUAUUCACCAGCAUGCCAAGAACAACCUCAGGUCCUUUUCUCAGGCCAGGAAGCUCUCUUCUUCCUCUUCUGCAAUGGUUUCUAGCAGAAUGAGAGACGAGAAGGCAAAGCAGUCAGAGGAGUCUCUGAGGACUGUCAUGUACCUGAGCUGCUGGGGACCCAACUGAGACGUUCCACAUUUCGAGUGAUCAAGAAGAAGAUGAUGAUGACGAAAGAUUCAUGGAGGGAGCAUGUGAAGGAAGUCAUGAGAAGGGGAGAUGAAAACCAUUAAUGGAGAAGAGAGAUCCAUCUGUGGAUGAAGGCAGUGGAAAUUUGGAGCCGAGUGAGUCAUGGGUAAUGGUUCUUAUGAGUUGGGAAAUUAUCAGCAAAGUGCUUUCUCAACCUCAGAUGCUUUGGGAGGAAUGGGAAUUUACCAGAAAAUUGCAAGUACAUAUGUAUGAUGCUUUUUAUGCAUAAUUUGUCCGAAAGCAAUAAUAAUCAGAUUAAUUUUCAGCUAUACUUCUUCUGAGAUAUGGAAUUUGUUGGUUCUGAUUUAAUUUCAAUGAAAUUGAUUAUUUUGUAAUUCUAAAGAAAAUUGGAUUAUUCUGUAAAUUCUAUUAUUUUAUUGUUGUAUAAAGGUAAAUUCUUCUAUCAUUUGUUUUGAUAUAUUCAAAAUUAGACACAGAAAUUAAAAAAAAAAAAAAAAAAUCCACUAUUCCAAGCCAACCCGCAGCCCAAGCUGACGGGUGCAUCCAACCAGGUAGCCAUGUUCAGGGAAAACAGCGGUUUCACCCACAUUUUUACUCCUUGCGCAAUGGAAAAAAAAAAAGAAAAGCGAUUAAAGCCCAAAAUGCCCAUGUAUCUCUUCAUUUGCCAUUAGAAGUAUAUGCACAAAACAGUCAUUCCAUCCACCCCUCACCAACCCAAAAAUCCUGGUAACCACAGCCUCUGGUUUUCCCCCACACCUAUGUCUUUUAAACAAUGGGCACACUACUGCCGACUGCCCCUACGCUUACUGCUUACAUUAGUUGAGGAUGAGUGAUGGGGCCAAGGCCAACUAUGUAGGUGAAUUCCCAAUUAUACCCACCUGAAUCCGCCCUCAAUCUGACCAAUCCGAGGACAAACGUAAUAAUCAUUCCAAUUCAGAUCAAGCAAACCCAUGAAAACUGCUGGCCACAGCCUCUGGUUUUUUCCCAAACUUUGGGCACCCGAUCCAAACCUAUCUCUUUCUAUAAAACCAACCCACCUUCACCUCAUCUUCUUCAUCACAACACAAAACACUGGAUUUACAGAGAGAUCUUCAAUAUCCAUUCACUACCCAGAAUCAGGUCUUUUUAUUGUUGAUUGUUGAUUGAGUUUUGGAGAAAGAAAAUUAAGGAGAUGAGUCAUAUGGGGAAAGCCUGGAUAGUGGCAACAAGCAUGGGAGCAGUUGAGGCAUUGAAGGAUCAGGGCUUCUGCAGAUGGAAUUACACUAUGAGGUCACUUCACCAGCAUGCCAAGAACAACCUCAGGUCCUUUUCUCAAGCCAAGAAGCUCUCUUCUUCCUCUUCUGCCAUGGCUUCUAGCAGAGUGAGAGAAGACAAGGCAAAGAAAUCAGAGGAGUCCUUGAGGGCUGUCAUGUACUUGAGCUGUUGGGGACCCAACUGAGACCCACCAAAAAUUAGUAGAGAGUUGUAAACAUGUAUGAUGAUUUUUUUAUGUAUUUUUUUGAAAAAAAAUCAGAUUAGGUAUCAGAAAUUCAGAAUGAUUGUUUUUUGCACUUUGUUUUUACAUGCCAUGGGAUUUGGAGUUGGUUAGUUUUGACUGAGCAUGAAAGGCAGGCCAGGGUUUUAAAGAAUUGAAUCAUUCACUGGAGAUGGAAUCUCUCUCAGAGAAAUCCUUAUUCUCUACAACCUUGGCAAAUGGCAAGCCACUAAGAGGGAAAACACAAAAAAUAAAAAUAAAAUAAAAUAAUAAUAAUUGUAGAGGAGAUAUUUGCCAAUAUAUAAAACUUAUAUUUUUGUAUUAUUAUUGAAUAAAUUAGAUUUUAUCAUACACUUAAAUAAUGGAGAUACAAAUUCAAUAUAAUACUUUUUUUUUGGUUAAUUUUAAAAGGUUUCUAAGGAAAUUAAGUCUUAAUCAAACAACUUUUAUUGAUCUUUUACAAUAUGAAUUUAUCUCUUUAAAAUAAUUUUAAUUUAGCAUUUAAAAUUUUCCGUUGAACUUUUUCACCAAAUGAGAAGUAAAAACGUAACAGAGGAAUGCAGGACUUUAAAGUGAAGUUGUCUUUUUUUGAACAAGCUAACUUUAAGUCUCGUUUUUUAAGAGAACUUUUCAUAGAAUUUGAAUUAUUUAUUUAACGAUAAAUUUUCAUGAUUUUUUUUUUAAAUUUACACCAUUUUGAAAGGGAAACUUGUAUUUUGAUGGAGCAAUUUGGAAAAUAUAUGAUUUUUGGAAUCCAACUUCACGAAAUCUGAAAACUAACUUUUAAUGUGAAAAAUUAUAUAUUUUUCAUGCACUCUAAGUCGGUUGCAUAUUUUUGUGCUAAGAUUAUUUUUAGGUUUAGUGAUUUUCCAAAAUUAUCCUUUUUGUUUUUUUUUUUUUUCUCUUGUACCCAUCAUCUGCCUCUCCCUCCCUCCCCAGUGAAAUUGGUUGGUAUUUUGCCGACGUCAUCACCAACCGCCACCCACACUUCUCUCCCGUUGGCAAUCUCCUCCUUUCUCCAUUUCCUUCCCUCUUUCUCUCUCUCUUUCAUUCCCUUUCGACAUCACCAAGAGAGAAGAAGGCGGUGGCAAUGGUGGAGAACCGGGGUUGGAGGGAAGAAGGUGCGACUGGUUGCCAUUGACGGUGGCAACCAGUAACUCUCGCAGUCAUUGACAACGGUGGUGGUGGAAGCACCUAAGUGGGGAGAGACGUCAAGGAGAGGUGGGAGGGAGGCGGACGAGGGGACCACGUCUUUCCCUACGCUGGUGCUUUCGCCGUCGCCACUGUCAAUAAUCGUGAGAGUUGUUGGUUGCUGUUUGUCGCGCCUUCUUCCCUCUAGCCCUGGUUCUCCACCAUUGCCACUGCCCUCUUCUCUCUUGAUGAUGUCGAAAGGAAAUGAAAGAGAUAAAGAAAGAGGGAAGGGAAUCGGAGAGGGGGAAAUUAAUGAUCGGAGAAAUGUGUGAGUGACGGCCGAUUUCACAAGGGAGGGAGGAAGAGGCGGAUGGUGGUGGGUAUAGGAGGAAAAUAAACAAAAAGGAUCACUUUGGAAAAUCACUAAAUCCAAAGGUAAUCUCGACACAAAAUAUGUAGCCGGUUCAGAGUGCAUGAAAAAUAUAUAAUUUUCCAUAUUGAAAAUUGAAUUUUAGAUUUCAUAAAGUUGGAUUCUAAAAACCAUAUAUUUCUUAAAUUUCCUCAUCAAAACAUAAGUCUGCAUUUUGAAAAGGAAAAACCCAAUGAAAUAUGUUCGUACUUCGUAUAGACCGUGGAGUGGGGUGUGAAAAAAACAAAGAAAUAGACACGUGCUUGAAAUCCGGCCGUGCACAUUACCCCAUUGGAAAACAGCGGUUUCAUCCUCCUUACUCUUUGAGCGUUGAGUGGAUUCACAAACAAAACAAUGGGCACGUACUGCGGACUGCCCCACACCAACACUGAGGGCCAACUAUGUAGGUGAAUACCCAAUUAUACCUACAUGAAUCAGCCGUCAAUCUUACAAAUCCAAGGGCAAAGUAGUCAUUCCAAUUCAAACCAAACCAAGCCAUGAUUCAUGAAAACUGCUGGCCACAGCUCCCGGUUUUUCCCUAACUUUGGGCACCAAAUCCAACCCAUCUCUUGCUAUAUAACCAACCCACCUUCACUUCAUCUUCUUCAUCACAACACAACUACCUUGAUUUACAGAGAGAUCUUCUAUAUCCAUUCACUACUCAGAAUCACCUCUUUCUAUUGUUGAUUGUUGUUUGGGUUUCGGAGAAAGAAAAUUAAGAUGAGUCAUAUGGGGAAAGCUUGGUUAGUGGCAGCAAGUGUGGGAGCAGUGGAGGCACUCAAGGAUCAGGGCUUCUGCAGAUGGAACUACACUCUGAGGUCUAUUCACCAGCAUGCCAAGACCAACCUCAGGUCCUUUGCUCAGGCCAAGAAGCUCUCUUCUUCCUCUUCUGCCAUGGUUUCCAGCAGAGUGAGGGAGGAGAAGGCCAAGCAGUCAGAGGAGUCUCUGAGGACUGUCAUGUACUUGAGCUGCUGGGGACCCAACUGAAGAAGAAGAUAUGAAGAUGGAUGAUCAUCAGCCUGCACUUGAAGCAUCCAGAGAGGGCAUAUUCCAAGAAAGUUAUGGAAAAUUAAGAUGAAGAAACUGCAGUGAAGCAAUUUCAUGGAAUUUUUGCUUGGAGACUCCCGAAUUACAACCAAUUGCUCAGGGUUGGGAAAAUUGGAAUUGCUGUAAAUUGUGACUGGUUCUUUGUAAAACCCAAAUCAUUUAGCUAGAAAUUGAAAAUACAUUUUAAUUUAAUUUAUAGUUUCUCUGUUAGAAUAUUAGACCCAAUUCCUAAAAAGCUUGUCAGUCUUGUAUUAGACCCAAGCUCAAGCGCAUUAAGAAAAAAUAUGGCAGAUUUGGUCACAUAGGGGAUGAAGAGGUGAUAAAGUAGAUACAACGCCCAAAAUUAAACUCUCAAUCAAUUUAAUUGAACAAAUAAUCAUAAAAGAGAUUUUUUAAAUUUAUGAUUUUUGAAAAAGAAAAUUCCAGUGAAAUAUGUUCAUGUAGACUGUGUGGUAGGAUGAAGACUAAACAAAGAAAUGGACACGUGGUUGAAGUCCGGCCCUACACAUUGCCCCAUUGGAAAACAGUGGUUUCAUCCUCCGUACUCUUUGGGCGUUAAGUGGGUUCACAAACCAAACAAUGGGCUGCCUUAACGUGGUGUUUAUUUUUUUACUUAAUUCUAAAUAGAAUCUUAAUAUUUAAUCGUAUUAAAUAUUAGAUUAUUUAUUUUUUAGUAUUUUAUUUUUAUUAAGUAUUAAAAAGUAAAAAAAAUCAUUGUGUUAUUUUUUCUAUUUAGAAAAAAUUAUAUAUUUUGAUUUUUUCUAUUUAGUAAAAAGUUUAUAAUAAGUCAUUAAAAAGUAAAAAAACAAACCAUCUAAAUUCUAAAACUAAAUGAUUUUUAGCAAAAAGCCAAAAAAACAAACACCACUUUAGACUGAGGACAAACUAUGUAGGUGAAUAUCCCAUUAUACCUACAUGAAUCAGUGGUCAAUCUUACAAAUCUAAGGACAGAGUAGUAAUUCCAAUUCAAACCAAACAAAGCUAUGAGAACUGCUGGCCACAGCCUCUGGUUUCCCCAAAACUUUGGGCAGUAUUCCUCAAAGAAUCAAGUGGGCUAGAUUUAACAACUUCGUCCACCAUGGUUAGAUUAUUGGGGGCUAGAGUAAAUAACUUCAUCCACCAUGGUUAGAUUAUUGGUAUCUCGAUGGGAGAAGUUGUUUUGAUGGAAAAACAUUGUAUUUUAUUAUUUUGUAAAUUUUAUCAUCACUCAUAUAUAUUAUUUUUUAUUUAAAAUUAAAUAAAAAAUUAAAAUUCUUAGAAAAUACGAAAAGAAAGUAUAUCACAAUCUUUAUUUUCUAUUCUAAAAUUAAAAAAUAAAAAUAAAAUUAUGAAGAAAAAAGUACAUUCCAACUUACAUUAAUUAAGGGAUGAUAUACUCUGCAAAUAAAAAAUAUAAAAAAUAAUUAAAGGUUAAAUAAAUCACUUAAUAAAUCGGUAGUAGGGGUUGAUGGUUUCAUUAUUAGACUAUAACAAGGAUUUUCAUUUUCAUUUUCUUUUUAAAUGCAUUUCAUGGUGGUGUAGAAUUUUUUUGUAUAAGGGUUUUUAAAUUGUAAUAUAGAUUAUAUAUAUAGUUGUGUUUUGUCCUAAAUUCUGACUUCCAAGUUUUCAACAUUAUAUAAAAAUCCCUAAAAUCACCUACUUCGUACGUUUUCUAACAUUAUAUAAAAAGCCCUGAAUUCACCUAUUAGAAAAAUGUUAUUUGGUGCGCUAUCAUUACCAUGACCUCAACCUCGUGCAAAGAUAUCGAGUGGUUACUAAUAGUAAAAAAUAAAUAAUAAAAACAAAAUAUAUUCAUUAUUAUUAUUAUUAUUAUUUUGUACUUUUACCAUCCAUUAUUCACAUCUUAGCAUAUGAUAGAAAAGAUGAUAAAAGAUUAUUUAUGUUGUAUGAUUUUAAGUGAAAUGAUCAAAAUAUUUAAAGAAAAAAUUAAUAAUUCAUGAAGAAUUUUUGGUAAAUUUAUAAAUUUGUAAUAAAUAUUGAUAAAUGAUAAACAAAGUAGUUUUUAAAGUGGUUGCAGUAGUUAAACAUUGUAUCUUAUUAUGAUUUUCCACCUUCAAAACUUAAUAAUAAAAUUUCAUAACAAAUUUUUAUCUAUUUGAAACUUUUGAAAUGUGGAAUCUUUUCUUGGACAUUUUUAUAUAUACAUUUGUGAAUUUUAUCUUUAUUUUUUAUUUAUAAAAUUAAAGGAUAAAAUUAAAAUGUUAAAAAUAAAAGAGAAGUAUAUCCCAACUUGCAUCAAUUAAGAGAAGAUAUAUAAAGCACAUGAAGAAUGCAAAAAAAAUUAAUGAUAAAAUAAAUCACUUAUUAGAUAGUAUUUAAUGAUUUACAUUAUUAGAUUGUAGAAAUGAGUUAUAUUUUUAUUUUUGUGUAUAGGGGAUUUUAAAUUAUAAUAUAUAUUUUUAUUUUUGAGUUAGUUUUCUUUGUUGAUACAUAGUUUUUUUUUUGUCUUGGAUAUUGUGUUAUCAGCAGUUUUAAAAGAAAUAAAAAUUAUUUAUCCCACAUCGAUUCAAAACUAAAAAUAUUAUAUAUAUUUAUUAAAACUUUGAUACCCUUAAAAAAUACAAGUACAACCAAUAAGCAAGCAUAGGGAUGACAACGGGGCGGGUAUGGGACAUGCCACCCCUACCCCAUUUCCAUCCCGGUUAUAUAUUUUUUUGCCCAUCCCUGUCCCAAACUCGGGGCGGGGCGAGUUGGUGUCCCCCUUACCUGUUUACAAAAGAGCUGAUAAUCUCAUCCCCAUCCCAAAUGUAUUUUCGGGAAUUAUGCUUUUACAAAACAUGGGUCUCUGAAAUUUCAAUAAACGUUAUAUGGGUUAUCAUAAACACAUUUAAUCAAGCAUUUGUUGUGCAACAAAACUACAAACUGCACAUAUGAGAACAAAAUGCACAGAUCUACAAAUAAACAACCCAAAAAAUCUCAAAUCCAUAAACCAAAACCAGAAAAAUAUGAAAAACAAGACAUUCUAACAAAGCCUCAAAACUUAGGGUUUUCUUACCUGGAAAUGAGGAAUCCAUAGAAACCCUAAUAAUUUGUUGUCUACGAAUUUGGUUUUUGGUUUUUAGAGCAAAAAUUGUGCUUUUAGGGUGAAAUGGGAAGAAGCAAUUUAGGAAUAAAUGAGAAAACGGGAAGAAAUGAGAAAACGAAAGGCCUUUUACGAGCAAAAGAACCCUGAGCAAUUUAGGAAGAAAUGAGAAAACGGGAAGAAAUGAGAGCGAAAGCCCUCUAACUCUCUCAUGAGCAAAAUAACCCUAAAACUUGAGGAAGAAAUGAUUAUAUGUGUAGGACUUUUUGGGUAUUUUGUAAUGACAUAAGGGUAAAUUGGUAAUUCACAUACGGGGCGGGGCAGAAACUGCAAAACCCAUCCCUGCCUUAAACCCAAUUCGGGUUUUUAUAUAUUCCCCAAACCCUUUUUAUACCCGAAUAGGAUAUUCUCAUACCCGUCCCAAUAGGGACGGGGCGGGUGACCCGAAUUACCCGGAAAAUUGUCAUUCCUAAGCAAGCAUUGAGCUAAAUCCUAAUCUCACAUUCCUACUUGAAACUUUACACUCACAUAAAAACAACUCACCACUUGACUCGAGGGACUAUUCCGUAACUUCUCACUACCAACAACCAGGCACUAUUCAACCUCUCGCUCACUUAUAAAUUCACUCCCUACCUGCAUAUUCAAAACGUAUCUCACUACUAUUCUACUCUACUAUUCUACUUUUCGUGGUUUCAUAUCUCACUAUUAUUCCACUUUUCGCGGUUUCAUAUCUCACUACUAUUCGCGUGUUCAAAGUGUAUCCCUCCCUGAAUUAAUUGUGAAUUAAUUUAGGCUUCAAAGUGUGUUGCUCUACAAUAUCCCUCCCAGUCAGGCCUCAAAGUAAGAACAACAACAUCUACAAUAUCUGCCAUGGCCACACAACCAAGGCAUGCGGUAUGCCGCAUUUUCUCAUGUCCUUUUCCCAUUUUGUUCCCUCUUUUCAUCUCCAUUUUGUUUUCAAUAUCCCCUUACCUUACUCAUAUUCUCUAAAAUUAGAUAAAAUUAUUAAUUUGAUCAUAUUUAUCUAACAUUUUUAAUUAAUACUACUAGUAUCUUAUUUUCAUAAAUCUAAUUGAAUUUCCUACUUAUUUAUUUAUUGUUUUCAUGACAAAACUUCAUCAACUUUCAUAUCUUUCCUUACAAUUCUGAGUUCAACUGUCCUUGCGAAAUACCAAUAUGAGAAUGUUUCCCCAUUUGCCCAACACAACAUAGGUAUGCAAAUCUCCUUAUUUGCAUCAUUUAUAUAUUUCAUGAUGGUUGUGGUUUAUGAAAUCCUUGAUUCUAAUGGAACUAUCAAAAUUGAAGAAGAUGGAAGAUAUCUCCUUAUUUUGAGUCAUGUUCGGUUCUUAAGUGGAACAGCAGCUGCAACUUUGUUGAUCCUGAUCUUGAUCCCAUAUUUUGGAUGGUUCUUUCUGAUCAUGUGGACCAUGUUCUUAGUGAAAAUAACAUGCUAUUGGGAUAAAACAUUUUAUAACUUUGACAUGUUCAAGAAUAAAAAAAAAUGCCAAUGAUAGGGAAGGAGGACAAGAGGAGCAACGACUCCAAGUUUAGAGUAGGUUUGGUCCAUCAGAGGUUAUUAGCAAAAAACAUAUUUUCUUCUUGUACUUUCGAAAGUGUUAAAUAAGUGUUAUAUUUUGAGUAAUGAGAGUAUUUUUUUCCUUUUUUCUUUUUUUCUAAUACAUUAUUGGUGAUUAUUCUUCGUCGGAAUACCCACAAGGCUAUUAGAUGUUUCAUUGCAAAAUAUGGUUUUAUAUGAUAGCAUUACGAUUGAACUAAUAAAACAUAUUUUUUGCAUAUUGUUUAGUUGGACCCCCCGACUACCUCUCGGUAAUAUCCUCUUAACAUAGGAAGUAUAAACUAAUAGCAAGUGCUAAUCUUUCCCAUUCUUACACAAGAAAGACCCAAGGAGAAGGUAUAUUUAGAAAUUGCAUAUCUAUGUUCCCAAACAAUAGAAAAUUCAAUAUAUGGCACUUCACUCUCUACUUUUCUUUCCCACAUUUUCUCAUAACCCAAAUAUGCUCACCUCUCAUUCUAAGAUCCAACCAUUGAAAAACAAUUACAAAAAUCCUAAUAAAAGAGAUAGAUCAUACUACAAUUACACUUUCUUACAAGAAAUUGAAGUGUAGAAGGUAUAACAAUUGAGUGAAACAAAUAAAAACCAACCUCCUUUAACACACAUGCUAAUGAAAUACUUGCAGAGACACUUUAAAUUUCUCCAGACUCCAAGAGAUAUUGAACAACAGCCUCGACACCUGCAGCGACGAGACCAUCACCUGAUACGAUAUAAUGCACAAACUCGGCACGGAAUCAAUAAGACUUGGUUGGAUUACAAAUUUUUUUUCAAACAUUCUCUUUUUCUUUCCAAUCACAAUAAAACAUCAGAAUAUUUUCAAAAAUAAAAAUCAGAAAUUCACCUUUCAAAAGCAAACACCCAUGAUUCUGAAAUUGGAGCUUUUAACCUAAAAGAUCAAAGAAGAUGAAGAAGAAAAAACCCAACCCCUGACUCGUUCGGAAAUAAGAGGAGAAACCACCGAAGGAUGAGGGCAUGAUUUAGGAUUUACUUACUUGAUUUUCCUAAAAAUCGAGAAUCAUCGGAGGGUGGAGGUUUGGUGUCAACGGUGGUAACUCGUCAAGUGGAUUGAAUCUUACAACAGCGACGUCGGCCAGGCAACCCUCUCACAGUCAGAUUGCUCUCCCUUCGGGGUCUUGCAUAGUUGCAAAUUUGCAAUUGUAGGUGGUGUCAUCUGUCGACGGUCUUGACAACAAUGGUGUUGUGCGAGUAUGGAAGAUUGGGAGCCUAAAUUGGUAAAGUAAAAAAUGCAUUUUAUAUGGAUUUACAUUGAUGAUAUGAGAUAGGAUUUGAUGGUAACAUAUUAAAUUAAAUUAAAUGAUUGAGUCCAAAAUGAUAUGGAUGGUAUGAGAUAGGAUUUAAUGAAAAAUUAAAUGUAUUUAUAUGGCAGAUUGAGAAUUAAAUCCACAAUUCUUAGUAGUAUUAUAAAUGGCUUUGAGUUAAAUGUGAAAAAGUUUUAUUAAUUUUUUAAGCUUAUUAAAUUUAUAUCUAUUUUUUAUAUAUAAUUUACAUAAUAUUUUUAUAAUUUUUUGAAAUUUCUAAUUAUCUUAUUUUGCGUGUUGCUUGAUAUUGAAUCAAGAUGUUGAGACCAACAUAUCUCGGGAACAUCUGAGUUAAUGAUCGAUAUCGCGACUUUGAACCAUGCUCGUCUCCAAUCCCUUAACAAUGAUGAAAAAUGAGGGCAACACAAUUACCCUUUUUAUUAUUAUCUGUUCAAAAUAAUACAUGCAUUAUAAUAUAAUUUUUUAAAAAUAUUUUACAAAAAAAUAUAUGUGGACCCCGUAUUUAGGCUCAUGCGUUUCCACUCGAUGGCGAGCUUGAUUUUAUUUUGAAAAUAAUUUUAUUUAUUAGAAAAUGACUUGGAGUCGCCACUUAUUUUUGUUUUAUUUUUAAAGGGUAAACAAAAUAAGAAAGAAAACCCUAAGUGUGACUCCUUAUUUUGGAAAAGGUGGUCUGUAAAAAAUUGGAUCGAGUUUGGGGGUCAGGUUACUUAUCGGGAAGGUACGGUAAAGACCGUAGCACCCCUUUAAGUCCCCAAAGUCGGGUCUCUACUAAUAAAAUGAAGUUGACGCAACAAUCAAUAAUAAAAACAAUGAAUACCGACAUGAUCACAUAUUGAAAGCCAAAACAUAUAAGGAUGAUGGUUAGAGUGAGAAAAAAUGCGUACCUGAUCAGCAAGCGGCAACGCGCUAUCAUAAAAUGAGGUUAGUGCACAAAUAAUGGACAUAAAACAUAGCUCACAAGCCACUGAAUCGAGUACAAAAUCAUCAGAUAUCACAAUUAAGUCAAAUUUAUUUUUCGGGGAAACAAUCACUGAUGUUGGGCCUUCACCAAAACCCAAUUUAUUCCUGUAUGAAUUAAUUUCGUAAAUUCCAUCACUUGGAAUUACAGAAUUUAAUUCACACUUAUUUUUAAAAUGUUUUAGAAAUCAUGGAAGUUAUGGAAAUCCAUGCCGAAGAAAAUGGCAACAAAAUUUUAUUAAAAAUGUGAUUUUUGGGACUUGAAAGCUCUAAGGAUGAAGAAUCUGGAAAAUAAUGCGAAAAAAAUGAGAUUUGGAAAAAAAUAUUUUUUUAAACCAAGAAUGGUGAAAAUGAGAAAAAAAAAAAAAAAGGAAGUGACACGUGGCAUAAGGGUGGCCAUGCAAAGGUGGCCAUGCACCAUUCCAAACAAAUCUAACCCCACUUGCUUUUAUUUGAUCCUGAUCUUAAUCCCAUAUUUUGGAUGGUUCCUUCUGGUCAUGUGGACCAUGUUCUUAGUUAAAAUAACAUGCUAUUGGGAUAAAACAUUUUAUAACUUUGACAUGUUCAAGAAUAAAAAAAAUGUCAAUGAUAAGGAAGGAGGACAAGAGGUGCAGCGACCCCAAGUUUAGAAUAGGUUUGGUCCAUAAGAAGUUAUUAACAAAAAAACAUAUUUUCUUCUUGUACUUUUGAAAGUGUUAUAUUUUGAGUAAUGAGAGUAUUUUUUUUUUCCUUUUUUCUUUUUCUUUAAUACAUUAUUGGUGAUUAUUCUUCGCUGGAAUACCCACAUGGCUAUUAGAUGUUUCAUUGCAAAUAUGGUUUUAUAUGAUAGAAUUAUGAUUGAACUUAUAAAACAUAUUUUCUGCAUAUUGUUUAGCUGGGCCUCCCAACUACCUCUCGGUAAUAUCCUCUUAACAUAGGAAGUAUAAACUAAUAGCAAGUGCUAAUAUUUCCCAUUCUUACACAAGAAAGACCCAAGGAAAAGGUAUAUUUAGAAAUUUCAUUUCUAUGUUCCCAAACAAUAGAAAAUUCAAUAUAUGGCACUUCACUCUCUACUUUUCUUUCCCACAUUUUCUCAUAACCCAAAUAUGCUCACCUCUCAUUCCAAGAUCCAACCAAAAUUGAAAAACAAUUACAAAAAUCCUAAUAAAAGAGACAGAUUAUACUACAAUUACACUUUCUUACAAGAAAUUGAAGUGCAUAAGGUAUAACAAUUGAGUGGAACAAAUAAAAACCAGCCUCCUUUAACACAUUUGCUAAUGAAAUACUUGCAGAGACACUUUAAAUUCCUCCAGACUCCAAAAGAUACUGAUCAACAGCCUCGGCACCUGCAGCGACGAGACCAACACCUGAUACGAUAUAAUGCACAAACUCGGCAUGAAAUCAGUAAGACUCAGUUAGAUUACAGAAAAAUUUUCAAACAUUCUUUUUUUCUUUCCAAUCAUAAUAAAACAUCAGAGUAUUUUCAAAAAUAAAAAUCAAAGAUUCCCCUUUCAAAAGCAAACACCUAUGAUUCUGAAAUUGGAGCUUUUAACCCAGAAGAUAAAAAAAGACGAAAAAGAAAAAACCCAACCCCUGACCCGUUCGGAAAUAAGAGGAGAAACCACCGAAUGAUGAGGGCAUGAUUUAGGAUUUACUUACCUGAUUUUCCUAAAAAUCGAGAAUCAUCGGAGGGUGGAGGUUUGGUGUCGGUGGUGGUAACUCGUCAAGUGGACUGAAUCUUACAACGGCGACGUCGGCCAGGCAACCCCUCAUAGUCAGAUUGCUCCCCAUCCGAGGUCUUUCAUAGUUGCAAAUUUGCAAUUGCAGGUGGUGUCAUCUAUCGAUAGUCUUGACAGCAACGGUGGUGUGCAAGGUGUGCGAGAUUGGGAGCCCAAAUUGGUAAAGUAAAAAAUGCAUUUUAUAUGGAUUUACAUUGAUGAUAUGAGAUAGGAUUUGAUGGUAACUUAUUAAAUUAAAUUAAAUGACUGAGUCCAAAAUGAUAUGGAUGGUAUGAGAUGGGAUUUAAUGAAAAAUUAAAUGUAUUUAUGUGGCAGAUUGAGAAUUAAAUCCCCAAUUCUUAGUAUUAUUAUAAAUAGCUUUGAGUUAAAUGUGAAAUUUUUUUGUUUUAUUAAGUUUUUAAGCUUAUUUAAUUUCUAUCUAUUUUUUAUAUAUAAUUUACAUAACAUUUUUAUAAUUUUAUGAAAUUUCUAAUUAUCUUAUUUUGCGUAUUGCUUGAUACUGAAUCAAGAUGUCGAGACUAACAUAUCUCGAGAUCAUCUGAGUCAAUGAUCGAUAUCGCGACUUUGAACCAUACUUGUCUCCAAUCCCUCAACAGUGAUGAAAAAUGAGGCCAACACAGUUGCCUUUUUUAUUAUUAUCAGUUAAAAAUAAUGAAUCUAUAUCCAUGUAUUAUCAAGAAUAAAUAAGUUUAUAUUUAUAAAUUUUUAUUAUAAAUUUAUAUUUACACAUAUCCUUGAUUUUCCUCAAGGUCUUAUUUUUAAUUGAUUACAAAGCAUUAGUACUUAUUUAAUUUAAAAUGUAUUAAAUAAAUAUUAAUAUUACAUAAAUAAAUAAAAGUUGAAUUUGAAUAAAAAUUAUAUAUAUAUAUAUAUAUAUCAUAUUCUACAUGAAUAUGAAUCUAUUAUUAAAGAUACAUGGUAAUAAGUGUUAAUAUUAUAUAAUCAAAUGAGAGUACAAAAAUUUUCUAUUAUUAACAAUACAUUAUUAUAAUAAUGAAAUACUUAAUAUCAUGUAAAUAAAUAAAAGUCAUCAUAAAUUUAAAUUUGAAUUUAUAUUUUUAAACCCAUCAAAUUUAUUUUUAUUUAUUUUUAAUUUUAAGAAUUUUUUCUCCACUUCAAAUAGCAAUAAUAGUGUUUAUUCAUACUAAUUAUACUUAAAAUUGAUGAAAUUUAUGAAAAAAGAAGAAGUAAAAACCCAUACCCUUCAAAUUUACAUUUGUUUUAAUUUUAAGAUUUUUUUUCUCUACUUCAAGUAAUAAUAAUAAUAAUGUUUAUUCAUACUAAUAGCAAUAAAAUUAACGAAAAUGAUGAAAAAUAAAAAAUAAAAAAUAAAUAGUAAAAACUUCAAAAUUUUAAUAAUAAUAAUAAUAUUUAUUCAUACUAAUAAACAAUUCUUCAUAAUCAUAACCUACUAAUUUCCAACAAUUAUAAUUGAAAUUGUUUUGAAUAAACAAUGUAAUUUGUAUUUGAAGUUGAAGAAAAUUGUGAAAAUUAAAUGGGAAGGGUAGGGUUUUAAUUUUUUAUUUUAUUUAAAAUUUUUCCCUCAUUAAUUAAUUAAUUAAUUAAUUAAUUUAUUUAUUUAUUUAUGAAUUUUGAGUGAAAUUAUUAUGAAUCAACAAUUUUAUUGAUAUUUAAAGUUUAAAAAAAAAAAAUCUAUGAAUUUUAAAUAAAUUUUGGAAGGUAUUUGUAAUGGGGUAUUUUUAUUUGCACUUUCCUAUUAUGUUGAAAUAUUGUUUGGUUUCAACAUUGUUUAUUCAAAAUAAUUUCAAUUAUAAUUAUUGGAAAUUAGGAGGUUAUGAUUAUGAAGAAUUGUUUAUUAGUAUGAAUAAACAUUAUUAUUAUUAUUAUUAUUAUUAUUUGAAGCAGAGAAAAAAAUUCAUAAUGCAUAGGGAGACCACAGAUUCUAUGGAUUCAACAAUUGAUAAACCUACUUGUUUAUGUUAUUGUCCCUAACCAUCUAUUCCAUUUUUGAAUUUACUUUUGGUGCAUUUAGUUUGUAACUUAUCUUAUGUUUUACUUAUUUUCAAUUUUUUUUUUUUAAGGUUAAGAUAGUAGUUUUUUUUUUUUUUAAAAAAAAAAAAAAAAACUCUUUUGAGCAAUACUUGAUUCUCUUGCUAUUCUUAUUUUUAACCAUUUUUUCAAUAAGAAAUUAUUUCUUUUUGGCGGAAUUGUAGGAAGUGGAUUGAAUCGGAAAAUUUAUUUGGGCCAGAUUGUGUUUCACUAGAGUCUUGAGAGAUGCAGCUUAGUGAGCUUAUAAUAAAAAGGUAGGCAUUUAAACGGACCAUACUGGUCCGAGUCAAUCUUAGUUUGGCCUAGUGGGCCUUCGGAAUUGCUCCAACAUGAAUUUCAAUGUCAACUUCAAUUUUUAAAAUUAAUAAUUAUACAUUUGUUUUAACUAUUUAUAACAAAUAUUAUCUUUGAAAAGUAAAUUUCAAUUAAUUUUUAUAUUUAAAUAAAAAUUAUUAUUAUUUUAAUUAUUUGUAUCCAAAUCAUACCCGAUAUAUUUGAUUUAUCUUACAAUGUUUCAACAUAAUAGGAAAUUGCAAAUAAAAAUACCCCAUUACAAAUACCUUCCAAAAUUUAUUUAAAAUUCAUAUAUAUUUAUAUAUAUAUAUAUAUAUAUAUAUAUAUAUAUAUAUGAAUUUUAAAUAUCAAUAAAAUUGUUGAUUCAUAAUAAUUUCACUUAGAAUUCAUAAAAAAAUACGAGGAAAAAAAUUAAAAUAAAAAUUUUUAAGAUCCCUACCCUUCCCAUUUAAUUUUAACAAUUUUUUUCUGAGCAUUGAUUUGUUGAUCGAUUAUCAAGGGCCACUCAUUUGCUUUGUUGGAUCUAACUCUCUGUAUGCAUGCUCUGUUUUGGCUUUGUUUGUUUUUUUUUUUUUUUUUUAUCUUUGCUUUCUCUUGUAAAUAUCUGAUGCAUUGUUCCUUCUCUGAACUUGAGAUAUAAAAAUCAUGCUCUUGUUCCUUGUGGAUUCCACCUUCUCCUAGCUCUUUGACAAUCCAUGAAAUAGAGCUAAGUUCAUACUCUAUUUUUAUGUUUUUAUUCUUCUUUGUUUGUUGUUGAUGGUGGGAUGAUAUUAUCAAUGGCUAAGUUGCUGGGAUUUGAGGAGUGAGGUUAUGGGGAAGUGAACUUAAUGGAGGAUUUCUAUGAUCAUAUCUAUGCUCCAAUCUAUUGGUUCAAAAUGUUGGCCAUGAGACUGCAUUGAAGUUUUGGUAUUUGGGAUCACUUUGCCAUCCGGGUUCAGUAAGCAACACAGUGGCAAUAAAGAUGCAUUGGUGUUAUUAAUUUGGGUGAAUAAGUUGGUUGUAUGAAUCGUGAAAGUUCAGGUUGUGCUUUGAGGAGAGUAUAUCUUGCAUCCUAUUAUUUUAAUUAUUAAUUUUGGAUGUUGAAAUAUGAUGUGAUCGCACUUCAUACAUCAUGGUUGUGUGAGGAAAAAGAAAGAUUGAAGAAAUGGUUGUGUGAAAUGGAAAUAAGAAUGAAAAGACCCUGGAGAGGGCAAAAAUGAAAAGAAAAAAAAAAUGAAAUGAUCCCAGAGAGGGCAAAUUAAGAAGGAAGUGAGAUCUUUAAGGUGAAAGUCCCAAAAGUUUACUUCGGGAAGACUCCGAAUGGGGAGUAUAUUUAGGUACAGAUGUGUAUCCUUUGGUGAAAGCUUGAGAACCAUAGUGCAUUGUGUGAUUGCGUGUAAGCAUUUGCAUCAUAAUUGCGUUUGGAAGAAGGAUUUGUAUUAUUUAUCAAGUGUAUGUUUGAAUAUAUUAUUCAAAACUAAAAUGACUUGUUUAUUUUGUAAAUUUAGAAUUGUUGAUAUACUAAACAUAUGAUUGAAUAAGGAAAAUGAUAAUUUUGAUUGUUUUAAAUUUAUAUGGUUAAGGUUUCUUUUAAUGUAUAUAUUGUAAAUGUAAUAUUGUAUUUUGACAUAUGGUUGUGUUAUUGACCUAGAAUUUCUAACCUAUUUGGGUGUAAAACACCCUACUGAGCAACGUGGAAAUGCCCAUCUCUUUAUUUUCUAAAAUUUUAGAUGCAAAUAUAGUUUCAGAGGGACCACAAGAAGUUCAAGAAGCGUUCUAGAAAGUAAAAGAACUAUAAUAAUAGUUGUUUUUAAAUUUAUAUUUCUCUUUUUAUAUGUACCAAUUUGAGUUAUAUGGACUUUUGUAUGUUAAAUUAUAUUUUGUUAAAUUGUAAAAUAUUUUUGGAAAUAUUUUUUUUAACUUAGAGAUUAUUGUAAAUAUUUCAGCUUUUGGGCAGAAAGAUGACUGGUGGAUUUAUUAUACUUGUGAAUAAGAGAUAGUGUGAUGGUUGGUUUUAGAAAAAUAAAAUAUUAUAGUAAAUCUUAACUUAAUAAGAGCAGGAUGAUCAUCAGCCUGCUCUUGAAGCAUCCAGGGAGGGCAUAUUCCAAGAAAGUUACGAAAAAUUGAGAUGAAGAAACUGCAGUGAAGCAAUUUCAUGGAAUUUUUGCUUGGAGACUCACGAAUUACAACCAAUUGCUCAGGGUUGGGAAAAUUGGAAUUGGUGUAAAUUGUGACUGGGUCUUUGUAAAACCCACAUCAUUUAGCUAGAAAAGCUUUGAAAAUACAUUUUAAUUUAAUUUAUAAUUUCUAUGUUAGAAUAUUAGAUCCAAUUCCUAAAAAGCUUAUCAGCCUUGUAUAUAUGGCUAAGCAGGUCAACUUCCCAAGCUCAAGCGCAUUAAGAAAUUCUCAGACCUACCUUUUUUUUAUAGGAUUUUUGGGAAGUUUUACAGCAAUUGAAAACAAAUCCUAAAAGGGUCGGGAAAUUAUUUGAAAAAAUAUGGCAGAUUUGGUCACAUAGGGGACAAAGAUGUGAUAAAGUUGGUACAACGCCCAAAAUUAAACUCUCAAUUAAUUUAAUUAAACAAAUAAUCA